rnacentral:rRNA from 1 species
AUUGAACGCUGGCGGCAGGCCUAACACAUGCAAGUCGAACGAGUGGCGGACGGGUGAGUAAUGUCUGGGAAACUGCCUGAUGGAGGGGGAUAACUAAUGGAAACGGUAGCUAAUACCGCAUACCAUCAGAUGUGCCCAGAUGGGAUUAGCUAGUGGGUGGGGUAACGGCGCACCAAGGCGACGAUCCCUAGCUGGUCUGAGAGUAUGACCGGCCAAACUGGAACUGAGACACGGUCCGGACCCCACCGGGAGGCAGCAGUGGGGAAUAUUGCACAAUGGGGGCAGGCUUGAUGCAGCCAUGCCGCGUGGAGGAAGAAGGCCUUCGGGUUGUAAAGUACUUUCUGCGGGGAGGCGUUACCCGCAGAAGAAGCACCGGCUAACUCCGUGCCAGCAGCCGCGGUAAUAC